UUAAGCUUACCCAAAUAAGUCCUUAAUACUCUUAUUUCUUAUCUCAAAAAUUCUUUUGACUUGAGCAUAAAGACUCAUGCAAGUAUCUUUUCUGUCAGUAAAUUUUUUUUUUCUGGUUAACAGAUGGGGCAAAGUCCAGAGAUUACAAGAUCGAAAUUACAUAGGGUAAUAAGAUCCCUUUAGCAUCAUCAUCAAUGAUUUUCACAAAAUUUCUGAACAGUGUUAUCAACAAAAUGAAAAUCUUCAAUUAAGCUAAGACUCCUUCUAGCAAGAAAAUCUGCUGCACGAUUUUUUUUCUUUGUAAUUAUGCACAAAAGAUAGCCUCCAAUUUCGCUGCUUAAGUUGACUGAUUCUUCUUACUAAAGUAUUUGGAUGUAUUGAGAUAUUCUGUUUAUUUCGGAGAGUAUAGAUAAUUUUAGAGUAUACUUCAAGCUCAAUUCUUUUAAGUCACAAGUCCUAUGCAAUCUCCAAACACUUAACCACCUCCCACAGCUCUGCUUUAAAUAUUGUACAGUCCCAAUGUUAAAUAUAUAUCCCGCUAUCCAGUGCCUCUGGUCAUAUCUUAUUAAUUCACUACACCCUGCUCUGCCAGGCUUUCUCACAGAAGUUCUAUUUGAAUUGGUUUUUAUCCACCCUAGAAGAAGAAGUCUCUAUUUUAUGUGGCAUUCAACUCUUCUUCUAAGAUUCUAUAGCAAGGUAUGCUUUUUAAAGGCCUCAUAGAUGCUUUGGACAAAAGGAAUUAUGAAUCGGAGUCCAUAGCAUAGAUUGGUCUUUUAUAUGGAGAAAAGAAAAUUUUCUUUUUCUCCAGUUCCAUAUUUUCAAGCAAGUUACUAUGAAAUACGAUAACUAUGUUCCCUCUUUUGAGGUAUCAAUUUUCGAUGUCGGGUUCCAUCUAAUCCAUAUAUCAAAGGAAGCUCUAAGAAAAAGAUAUAAGUUUUGGGGAUGCACCAUACGUACCCAGAUUUUAGUCGCCGAUGUGCAAUAUCUUAACACGUGGAGGAGCGUUUCUUGCCGUCUGUCAUAGAGGUGGCAGUUCGGACAGCUUCCAAACAGCUUUGCUCUCCAACUUGCAUUCACUAGUCUCUUGUGAAAGACCAUUCACAUAAAGCAUUUUAUGCACUGUGGACCUUUCCAUUGCCAAAUAAUCUUCCAUGUCAUAUAUUACUAUCCUUCCUCCUUUGUAAUCAUAUAGUAAGCACUGGCCACAAUAAAGUUAGCAUUACUUGUUCCUUUCCAAAAGGGUUUGUCUUUGCCCAUUUUAUCAUUGGGUGGCAACAAGGCUCUUAUUUUAUUUAUAGAGUCAUUAGGGAGAAAUUGCCUCAAAAGAUUUAUAUUCCACUCACCAUUUUGAAGGACAAAGUCACGAACUUUAGCAUCCAUCAUAUCUUCUCCGAGUUCAAUUGUAAUCUUUAAAAUAAGCUUGUCUUCACUCUUGACCCACCAAUCACUCCAAAAAUUUGUUUUACAACCAUCACCAAUAUCAUAGCCAAUAUGUUAUUUUAUACUUUUCCAUACUUUAACUAGUUGUUUCUAGAAGGGAUAAUUCGAUGGGUGAGAGAUAAUAUUAGACAUUAAGUCUGUCCCCCUGCCAUACUUAGCGUAUACCAUAUUGACCCAUAAAGAAUUUGACUCUGUCAAAGUUCUCCACAAAGUUUUCAUAAGGAAAGCUUUAUUAAUAAGAUUGAGCUUACGAAUCCCUAAGCUCCCCUGAACUUUUGGUUUACACAUGCUCUUCCAGCUAACAGCGUGUAAUUUUCUGUUGUUAUUCUUCUUUUUUCACAUAAAAUUUCGUUGGAGUUUCUCUAUUUCAUUACAAAUCCUAAUUGGAAUCUUGGUGUGAGCCAUAUCAAAACUAAGGCAAGGAUUGAUGACUAAUUAGACUAAAGUGAUUCUCUCUACUAUAGACAAGCAUCUUGCUUUCCAUCCCUUAAGCUUCUCUUUGAAUCUCUUUACAGUCAUCUUGAAACUGUCUUUUUUUUCGAGUUCAAGAUCAUAGCCCCCAAAUAGCAUCCUAAACAAGGGACUUCCUUGAAGUGCACACACUAUUUAUUGCACUUCUCUCUGUUGUAACAGUUUCAGAGUAGAGCAUAGAUGUUUUAGCCACAUUUAUCUGUAAUUCCGAUGCUUUACCAAACACUCUGAGAGUGCUUAAAAGCAUUUCCAUUUGCUCCCAUGAAGCUUCGGCAAAAAGUAAUAAGUCAUCAGUAAAGAAAAAAUGCAAGAUCAAAGGUCCAUCUCUUCUAGCUCGCAUUGGUUUCCAGCCCCCUUUGAUAAUUUUAUCUUCAAUCAUGUGAGAUAGUUUUUCCAUAGCAAUAACAAAAAGAUACGGAGACAAAGGGUCGCCUUGUCUAAUGCCGCAGGAAAAUGAUAAAGUGUGCAAAGAAGUGCCCCAAAGUCUACCAAUUUUUCUUAAAAAAACAGGGCUAAAAAGUCGUCUUUACCUAGAGCUUUCAUAGAGCCUAUGUUGAAAGGAAAAGUUUUAAUGACAUCAAAGCCAGGAGAACUUAAUAUACCAGUGUUAACAUGUUCUUUUAUUAUGAGAAAUUUACAAUUUGUGUUUAGGGGCAUCCUAUUCACAUCAUUUUCUUUAUACAGGUCCUUGUAGAAGUUCGAGGUAAAUUCUAUCAACUCUUUACUGUUCUCACACCAGCUGCCAUCUUGCCUUCUCAACUUGAUAAUUCUAUUUCUCCUUCUUCUAAUAAGGGUUUUUGUAUGAUAGUACCUCAUAUUUCUAUUUCCCUUUACAAUCCACUGUUGUCAAAAUUUUUGUAACCAAAAUUUUUUUUCACGGUUCAGGAUAGUCUCCAAUUCAUGUUUCAACUCUUUAUCCAAAUCUUGGAGAAACAGGUUACUGCUAUAGGAUGCCGCAUUUUGAAUUUCUUAAAGACGGUUGAGGAUUCUUAUUUCCUUCUUCAUUACAUGCCCAAACACCUCAAUAUUUCAAGUUUUAAGGUUGCCUUUAAGUGAUUCUAGUGCUCUCGUAAUUGAUAGUCAUUUCUCCAAGAGUGUUAUAUGAAAUCUGUAAAAUCUUAGUGAGUUAGCCACAUCACUUCAAAACAAAAUGGAUUUUCAUCCCUAUCAAAUCUCCUUGGUUCAAGAUCUACUAAAAGGGGGUGGUGGUCAGAAUUCACUCUUGGGAGAACAUUCAUAAUCACAUUUGGGAAAUUCAUUCUCCAUGAUGAAUUUGCUAAGGCACGGUCUAGUCUCUUAAAGGUCUUUUCUCUGCCUUCUCUAAUACCAUCAAUCCAGGUAAACUUGGAGCCUAUAAAUCCCAGAUCAAUUAAACAACACU